GAUGAACGCUGGCGGCGUGCCUAAUACAUGCAAGUCGAGCGAAGCGGGGACGGGUGAGUAACACGUGGAUAACCUCCCAUAAGACUGGGAUAACUUCGGGAAACCGGAGCUAAACCCGACACUUAUAGAUGGAUCCGCGCUGCAUUAGCUAGUUGGUAAGGUAACGGCUUACCAAGGCAACGAUUCGUAGCCGACCUGAUAGAGGGAUCGGCCACACUGUGACGAGGAAACGGUCCAGACUCCUACGGGAGGCAGCAUUGGGGAAUCUUCCGAAAUGGGCGAAAGCCUGACGAGCAACCGCCGCGUGAGUGAUGAAGGUCUUCGGUUCGUAAAACUCUGUUAUUGGGGAAGCGGUACCUGAACAGAAAGCCACGGCUAACUACGUGCCAGCAGCCGCGGUAAUUC
rnacentral:rRNA from 1 species